rnacentral:rRNA from 1 species
AGCUGCAGAAGAAGCACCGGCUAACUCCGUGCCAGCAGCCGCGGUAAUACGGAGGGUGCGAGCGUUAAUCGGAAUUACUGGGCGUAAAGCGCAUGCAGGUGGUUUGUUAAGUCAGAUGUGAAAGCCCGGGGCUCAACCUCGGAAUUGCAUUUGAAAACUGGCAAACUAGAGUACUGUAGAGGGGGUAGAAUUUCAGGUGUAGCGGUGAAAUGCGUAGAGAUCUGAAGGAAUACCGGUGGCGAAGGCGGCCCCCUGGACAGAUACUGACACUCAGAUCGCGAAAGCGUGGGGAGCAAACAGGAUUAGAUACCCUGGUAG